rnacentral:rRNA from 1 species
CCAAUAGCGUAUAUUAAAGUUGUUGCGGUUAAAAAGCUCGUAGUUGGAUCUCGGCAGGCAGGGGGUGGUUCGCUCUUAGCGCUACUGCCCCAUUUGCCUGUGUGAUUGGCGGAGGUUUCGGGGUGCUCUUCGUUGAGUGACCCGGGGCGCCGUCAGGUUUACUUUGAAAAAAUUAGAGUGCUCAAAGCAGGCUUUUCACGCUUGAAUAUUCGUGCAUGGAAUAAUGGAAUAGGAACUCGUUUCUAUUUUGUUGGUUUUCGGAAAUCGAGUUAAUGAUUAAUAGGGACAAUUGGGGGCAUUAGUAUUCAGACGACAGAGGUGAAAUUCUUGGACCGUCUGAAGACUAACUACUGCGAAAGCAUUUGCCAAGAGUGUUUUCAUUAA